rnacentral:rRNA from 1 species
AUUGAACGCUGGCGGCAUGCCUUACACAUGCAAGUCGAACGGCAGCACGGGAGCAAUCCUGGUGGCGAGUGGCGAACGGGUGAGUAAUGUAUCGGAACGUACCUUUCAGUGGGGGAUAACGUAGCGAAAGUUACGCUAAUACCGCAUAUUCUGUGAGCAGGAAAGCAGGGGAUCGCAAGACCUUGCGCUGAUUGAGCGGCCGAUAUCAGAUUAGCUAGUUGGUGAGGUAAAGGCUCACCAAGGCGACGAUCUGUAGCGGGUCUGAGAGGAUGAUCCGCCACACUGGAACUGAGACACGGUCCAGACUCCUACGGGAGGCAGCAGUGGGGAAUUUUGGACAAUGGGCGCAAGCCUGAUCCAGCAAUGCCGCGUGCAGGAUGAAGGCCUCGGUUGUAAC